AUGGUGGCUCCACCUUGCUGGUCUCUCACUGAGCUGGAGGAAUCAUUCCCAUGUCCCCAUCACGUUGAGGGAUGGGAACACUCCCCUGGGAGAGACCUGGGGUGCAGUGUCUUCUGGUGUGAGCCUCGCUGUUAUCCUCCCUUGCACCCUCAGUCUGAAAAAAAGCCAAAGUAUUUGGGUUUUCCAUGUUUUCCGGAGAACCCAGGUGGGGUAGGGGCUUCUCUCUGGAUCUCCCAUCUGCCAGCAAAGGCAGGUUUUUCACCUGGUGCAGAACCAGGGAGCCUUUUGCUGAGACCUUGGGUGUGUGCCCGCCUGUCCCGGUGUUUCUGCUGCUUCUCCUCCCCUUCCCUCCUCUGUCUCCAGAAAAGUGUUGUGUUCCUGGUGGAGAAGAGGAGCAGGGAAGCUCUGCAGCUCUCUGGAGAAGUGUACAGCCGUCAGAUGCCACCCCCCCCCAGCAGAAAAUACCCACAGAGCUCCCGUUUUGCCCACGCUGCGACGCCGCUCCCUGGGGACCUGGGUAUUGUCCCACCGCAGGCAGAGUUGUUUUGUUUUUUUUUUUUUCCAUUGAAAUAGAGUUUGUAAAGCAAAAGCAAAUAAUGUGAGCUUGAAGGAGCGGAAAGCUUUUCCUCUUAAGAUGCCUUCCCUCGUGUAUAUUCAAAAAAUCCAGCUCGCCAGGGCAGGGGAAGUUCAGCCUCAUCCAGGCGUCGUUGGCCUCGUGUAACUGCUCCGUGCUGGGGAAGGAACGUGCUGUUCAGCCCCUUGUUUAUCCCGUUGCAGGAGUCAGGGCACCGACUUUGCUUCCUCAAACCAUUUCAGACUCUUAGCGCGUCCCACAGUCCUGUACCUUGCCCUUCAGCCCCAAAUCAGCACCUAUUCCUUGAACCAGCACUUACCACUCUUGGAAAUGAGGAUUUAAUCCUUUUGGAGGUGGGACUGGGGUCUCGGGGCAGACCCCUCUCCAUCCCCCGUCAGCAGCAUCCAGCCCCCUCUCUUCUCAGAGCUCUACAGUGAUUUUUUUUCCUUUUUUCUGAUUUGUAAAGAUGCAAAGUCCACGCCAGCAGCUGAAAUUCCUUGUCAUUAUGUCACUAAAACCGUGGUGGUGCUGGGUGUCCCAGCCACCGAGCAGUGGGGGGUGGCUGACCCCCAGGUUUGGGGCUGUGGAGGGACCAGCUUCACUCCAACACUCUCUUCCUUCAGGUUUGGUUUUGUUUCCUUGUGGCAGCAGCUUCGAGCUGGUCUGUCAUUCCCGGCGGCGCCAGGAGAACCACGGGUUGGUUUUGUUGUGCUCUGUGCAUCGUGAAACGCGCUGCUUCGCCAAUAAAUCAUUGUAGAAAAAUCCCA
rnacentral:lncRNA from 1 species